UGGCGGACGGGUUAGUAACGCGUGGGGAACCUGCCCUGUACCGGGGGAUAGCAGCCGGAAACGGCUGAUAAUACCGCAUAAGCGCACGAAUGUCGCAUGACAUGGUGUGAAAAACUCCGGUGGUAUAGGAUGGACCCGCGUCUGAUUAGCCUGUUGGUGGGGUAAAAGCCUACCAAAGCGAAGAUCAGUAGCCGAGUUGAGAGACUGACCGGCCACAUUGGGACUGAGACACGGCCCAGACUCCUACGGGAGGCAGCAGCC
rnacentral:rRNA from 1 species